rnacentral:rRNA from 1 species
AUUGAACGCUGGCGGCAUGCCUUACACAUGCAAGUCGAACGGCAGCGCGGGAGCAAUCCUGGCGGCGAGUGGCGAACGGGUGAGUAAUAUAUCGGAACGUGCCCAGUAGUGGGGGAUAGCCCGGCGAAAGCCGGAUUAAUACCGCAUACGACCUACGGGUGAAAGGGGGGGAUCGCAAGACCUCCCGCUAUUGGAGCGGCCGAAAUCAGAUUAGGUAGUUGGUGGGGUAAAGGCCUACCAAGCCUGCGAUCUGUAGUUGGUCUGAGAGGACGACCAGCCACACUGGGACUGAGACACGGCCCAGACUCCUACGGGAGGCAGCAGUGGGGAAUUUUGGACAAUGGGCGCAAGCCUGAUCCAGCAAUGCCGCGUGCAGGAAGAAGGCCUUCGGGUUGUAAACUGCUUUUGUCAGGGAAGAAAUCCUCUGGGUUAAUACCUCGGGGGGAUGACGGUACCUGAAGAAUAAGCACCGGCUAACUACGUGCCAGCCGCCGCCCGUAACAC